rnacentral:lncRNA from 1 species
UUUUGAGAAGAUUACGUUGAAUGGAAGUACUUGCUUUACUUGGUCUCGUGAAUAGUGCUGAUUGCUCUCCAAUAGACUCCUUUUGCUUUCUUUUGGUCACUUCAUGGGCUAGUCUUGCCGUGACAUAGUCCAAAGUAAGAUCUUUUCUUGAAAUUGAUUCCAAUGCCACAAUGAGGGAGGAAUAGGAGUCCGGAAGGCUUGAGAGCAAUGUCAUCACAACAUCUUCUUCAGGUAAAGGCUUGUCAAUAACAACAAGUUGGUUUGCAAGUGCUUUUACCUUAUUCACAUGAGCCAUGAGAUCUUCACCUUCUUCCAUCUUCACGGUGAAGAAUUUUUGCCUUGACCAUAGUACAU